UCCUGAGGGUGCAAGCGUUAAUCGGAAUUACUGGGCGUAAAGCGCACGCAGGCGGUCUGUCAAGUCGGAUGUGAAAUCCCCGGGCUCAACCUGGGAACUGCAUUCGAAACUGGCAGGCUUGAGUCUCGUAGAGGGGGGUAGAAUUCCAGGUGUAGCGGUGAAAUGCGUAGAGAUCUGGAGGAAUACCGGUGGCGAAGGCGGCCCCCUGGACGAAGACUGACGCUCAGGUGCGAAAGCGGGGGGAGCACACAGGCGGCGAUCACCGUGUAGUCC
rnacentral:rRNA from 1 species